rnacentral:misc_RNA from 1 species
AGUAUACGUCAGAGAGACUCGCAAACACAGCCGGAGACGCCAAGGGAAGGCGACUGCACGUAGCACUCGACGCUGCUUCGGCCAACGCCCCCUGUGGCUUUCCACGUGCCCAUUUCUCACUCAGAGCCGCUCGCUCUUCGCUUGAAAGGACACGUGCGUAUUCAGACAAGCAACCUGUCUGCACAAACACACACACACACACACACACACACACACAGACACCUGCAUUCCUCAUCACUUUCCUCACAUAGACAAGGCUAGCGGAGCCGCAGACGGCGAAAGCAACGAAGGCAAAAACGAACGUCUGUGGCUGAACCUCCUUCAUUUUUUCUUUUCGUAACACUGCACACCUCUGCAUUUCCAUAGAGAGAGAGUUACGGUGCUCAUUCACAGACUCAUUGACGCAUACCUCCCAGUCCUCCUCCCUCUUCCCCACCUGCUGCGAUUGUCGUCUCCGUCUCAUCCACAUCCGCGCAGUUGCCUCUCCUCUCCUCCCCCCUACUCCCUUCCCUUUCCUUACCUUCCCUUCUCUCUCCCUCUAUCCCCACACGCGCAUACGCAGCAGUCCUACACUCUCCAUCUCCCCCUUCCUUCCCACCCCUCUCUGUCUUCCUUUGCUCCGGCUUCUGGUGCCGCGUGAGACGAAUACAGCGUUGAUAAUAUUGAUUUUGUUGUAAGUGUGCGUGUGUGUGUGUGCCUUCGCUUCGUGUUCACGUGGAGGUUUUACGCCUCCCCUGCUCGCCUCAGCUGCCGAUUCGGAUUCCCAGCGUAUUCUGUGCGCACACCUGCAGCCAUGCUGCGCCGCGUGCUGUCUCGCGGCCCACUCCCACGGUCGCUGUCGGUGGGCCCCGCGGCGAAGCUGACAGCGAACAGGGGCAAGCUCGCCAAGAGCCGUGGCGUUCAUGUGCACUUUCUCACCACCGCUGAGUGUGCAGCGGCGGCCGGUGAUGCUAGCGCCCCUAUUCCGCCAGGCUUUACCGGCAAGGCAGGGGAGGUCGACUUCCAGACCCUCUGGGCGACCGCACAGGAUCCGGCCACAGCGGAGAGCGCUCUGACGAAGAGUGGCCGAAAAGCAGCCGGGGCCAGGCGCAUAGCGGAAAAGCCUGCCGAGCUCGUGGCGGGCAUGGGGGCCCACUCCACGGUGCGGGAUUACCGCCUCGCGGUCACGGCCGCCGUGCGCAAAGCCAAGAUGUGCAACGCCGCGUGGGUGUCGCUACACCCGCCGAAGCAAGAUGUCUUUACCAUGACGGACCCGUACCACCCGCCGCAGCGUCUGAAGGGCCACGAGAUGGUGGAGAAAACCGCCAUCUUUGCGGUGACGGGGGCUUACCAGUACGACCGCCUGAAAUCGGGCACCCUCGCCUCCAAGGAUCCUGCAAAGACGGGCAGCACCCGCGCGAGGCGGGCGGAGUCGCGGGCUAAGCCACCCGCCGCUCCACAGCCGCCGAUGGAGCUUGUCGUGGCGUCGAGCAAUGCACAGGCGGUGCGCGCGGGGGAGGUGAUCGGGCACUGCGUCAACGACGCCCGGAACCUCGGCAACCUGCGCGAGGACGAAGGUGUGCCGGAGUUCUAUGCGGAGUGGGCGAAGAAAUACAUGAUACCGGAGGGUAUUAAGGUGCGCAAGGUGCUUCGCGGACAGCAGCUCGAGGGGGCGGGCUUGCACCUCAUGUACAACGUCGGCCGCGGCUCCCGCUAUGAGCCGUACCUGAUGGUGCUUGAGUACAUCGGCAAUCCCCGCUCGAGCGCGACGACGGCCAUCGUGGGCAAGGGCGUGACCUUCGACUGCGGCGGCCUGAACAUCAAGCCCUAUAACUCGAUGGAGACGAUGCACAGCGACAUGAUGGGGGCGGCCACCGCGUUCUGCACUCUCAAGGCGAUCGCGAAACUGCAGCUGCCUAUCAACGUUGUGGCCGCGGUCGGACUCGUGGAGAACGCCAUCGGCCCCGAAAGUUAUCACCCCUCCUCCAUCAUUACUAGCCUCAAGGGGCUCACGGUGGAGGUGCUCAACACUGACGCUGAGGGUCGCCUGGUACUGGCAGAUGUGCUCACGUACGUGCAGAAGUACGCACCGCUCGAUAAGAAGCCUACCCGCAUCAUUGACCUUGCCACGCUCACGGGUGCCAUUAUUGUCGGUCUCGGCUCGCGCCGCGCCGGGUUGUUUUCGCCAUCUGCGAUACUGGCAAAUUCACUAAUGGCUACCGGCGCUCAGUGCGGGGAGGAGCUGUGGCCGAUGCCGAUCGGUGACGAGCACAAGGACAUGAUGAAGGGUGGCAUUGCCGACUUGAUCAAUGCUGCCCCCGGCCGGCAGGCCGGCUCCUGCACCGCCGCCGCGUUCCUCUCCAACUUUGUAGAGCCGGAGGUGCAGUGGGCGCACCUCGAUAUCGCCGGCGUGGCAGAUGUCGGCGACAAGCCCAAGGGCUACGAACCGGCUGGUGUGACGGGCUUCGGCGUGCAGCUUCUGGUCGACUUCCUGCGCCACAACAAGCCUUAAGACGCGAAGGAUACUCCGUUGUGCGAUCACAGAUUUCUUUCGUUUCUUGCGCUCUGGUGUUCUUUCUGCGGGCCUUUACGCGUGCUUACGCGUGCGCGUGGGCGUAUGGUCGCCUAGCUCCUUUCCUCUACACACCUACAUACCACGUUCUUUCUCAAAGAAAAAAAAAAUACAUUGGUGGACUGAGUCAUGAAGGUACCGGCUCUCUCCCUGGUUCUCUGGCGUUCCCUUGAGUACGCUGCAUGGCGAAUGGUCACCAUACAUGCGCUGUCGCGCGUCCACGCCCAUCCCACUUGCAACGCUGUCUGCUGUUGCCUCUCUCUCCUCCUACUUCUCAUAUUCUUCGGUUCUUCGCUUGCUUAUUACUUUAUGCUCGCCAUGCCCAUCACCAUCAUCGCCACGGUCCGCCAUCUCACGUCUUCGCACGCAG